UCUGGUUACUGGAGCGACUUGGUACCACCCUUUCUCAUCCCGAACAAGGAAGUGAAACGAGUCAGCGCCAAUGAUACUUGUCAGCCUAGCUGACUGGGAAAGUAGGUCGUAGCCAGGG
rnacentral:rRNA from 2 species